ACCAGUCCGGUGAGGUUCACCGGAGAAGAAGAUUGGAGUUACAGCUCCGGCGAUGCGUUGGCACGUCUCCCAGUCAUAGGAUCCUUUCAAAAUGUUUUAAUCCUGAGCGUACAUGCUGAUUACCACACGUGUGAUCAGUUGACUCAAGUGCAUGGUGGAUUGCACGCGCUUAGCCACUUCAUCUGCCACCUCAAUUAAUGAGGGAGAUCAAGUGGCUCACGUUUUUU
rnacentral:lncRNA from 1 species